rnacentral:rRNA from 1 species
AACGAACGCUGGCGGCAUGCCUAACACAUGCAAGUCGAACGAAACCUUCGGGUCUAGUGGCGCACGGGUGCGUAACGCGUGGGAACCUGCCCUUAGGUUCGGAAUAACUCCCCGAAAGGGGUGCUAAUACCGGAUAAUGUCUUCGGACCAAAGAUUUAUCGCCUUUGGAUGGGCCCGCGUUGGAUUAGCUAGUUGGUAGGGUAAAAGCCUACCAAGGCGACGAUCCAUAGCUGGUCUGAGAGGAUGAUCAGCCACACUGGGACUGGGACACGGCCCAGACUCCUACGGGAGGCAGCAGUGGGGAAUAUUGGACAAUGGGCGAAAGCCUGAUCCAGCAAUGCCGCGUGAGUGAUGAAGGCCUUAGGGUUGUAAAGCUCUUUUACCCGGGAUGAUAAUGACAGUACCGGGAGAAUAAGCUCCGGCUAACUCCGUG